rnacentral:lncRNA from 1 species
UCACAUGAUUGUCUGAAUUCCCAGAAGAAUACCAACACUCAAUUGUGUCAUGACCAAACUUAAGGCAGUGGUUGCAAAAGGUAGGCUUCCAGUCAUAUUCAACAGACUGGAUUUUAGAACCAAAAGGUGUAUCAAUUUCCAGUUCAUCAGGAAGUUGAUAUGCAGCAUCAACUUCAACAAGGAUUCUAGCAAAUGAAAUUUUGUCAUAAUGAGCAGUAUACUUAUCAGUAUACAAUGGUUUCCCAAUAGCACUUGCCCAACUUACUCAGCACCUCUGUGGACC